AUGGUGCCCUCUCCGGCUGGUCGAUCGCUGCCGCAGCCACUGAUGGAACAGUGCUCCUACUGUGCCGGGCGCGUGAGCGCCAUUAAUCCGAAACGUGAAGCCUGUCGGUCAUUUUGUCCGCUACCACAUCUUUCGCUGUGCGCUUUGCUUCGGAUGCUCGUCGCCUGCACGGAAACUGGGGCACGAUGCAUGCCCUCUGACCCCGGUGAUCCGCCCACACCCACACCACACCCGGGGAACUGCGCGCCCGUUUUUCAAAUUUUGUCUUCCUGGGAGGCUGGGCACCACUCUCAAUUUUAUAGGUCUCUGGCGCCGCUCGUGAAUUCCAGUACUACUAUACCUCAUUUCUGA
rnacentral:rRNA from 1 species